AUAUAUUAUACUUAAAUAUUAAUUAAUAGUGUAAAUAGUAAGACAGAUCACUGUAAAAAUUUAUUAAUGUUGAAUUGUUUUCGCUUUUAUCAUAAAUCAAAGUUUCGAUUUUAUAGUAAACAGAGGAUCGUGCACUCAGUAAUAAAUACAUUUCAUGCAAACAUUAUAUGUUAAGUAGCAAAAGAGCCAAAUUAAUAAUUUUAGUUUAAAAAAAAUUCGGCGUAUUUAAUGAGAGAAAGCAGAGGUGUUAAAGUUUCGAUAUUCAUUUGUUAGAUCCAAUUCUUUUCCUCAUCCAAUCUUAGUCUGAAUAUACAACAGUUUAAACGCGAAACGAAUCUUACUAAAGCGUGCGUCGAAUCACUUUCUUGCAGGUGUCUUUUGUUAAGUGUCGAAGGAAACGUCCACACACGUUAAUCGAGAUUAGUCGAGCCGUCAAAGAGCGUGUUAAUCACGUUAAAAAAAUCAUGAUGUGAGAGCGUGAGAUGGAUUCCAAUAGUUUUUUACCUGUACCUGAAAAUUGUACGAGAUGCUGAUAGCCGCCACAAUGACAUCCUAACAAAGUAAAAAGAAAAGGAGAAAGAGCAGCGAGUGACCUAAUUUAUCUUUGUAAUUAUGUCAGGGCUUAUAUCGAUUUACUGUCGAUUACAUGGUUCUGCGAAUAUCUUUGUUAUCAGUUCAUUAAUAUCCUGUCCAUAUGAAUGAUUAUUUUUAUCACUCAUGAUAAUGGAAAGAAGCGAUAAAGCAUCCUAUUUUCACGGUCAUGCGAUUCUAUUUUUUGCAUCAUGAUGAUAUCAGAUUAUCUCCCAAUUAGGCGUGAGAUGGAAUUUCAUUCUGUUAAAAUAUUUGAGUAAUAUUCAGAUAUUGUUUUAGUAACUUCUUACUUUGACACUUUAGUAUUUAAAUAGCUGGAUAAACUCUGGAGAAUACACGGUUUUAAAAUAAGCGAAUAGACUCGUUCUAUACUCGAUAUCUUCCCGAGGUUUCUAUUGCUGACGUCAUUCGAUGUAUGACAAAACAAAUAUUCUGCUUCGUGCAAAGCCAUGCCGUAACACGAAAGACCAGAGAAACGGGAUAAAUUAUCAGAGACUUUCCGCUGCUGUCGCAGAGUAUUAGGCAAUUUGAAUGGGAUAAUUCGUGGCAACCAAUAAAGUCUAUUUCGUGCAAUA
rnacentral:lncRNA from 13 species